UACGUAGGGCGCAAGCGUUGUCCGGAAUUAUUGGGCGUAAAGAGCUCGUAGGCGGUUUGUCGCGUCUGUCGUGAAAGCUUGGGGCUUAACCCCAAGUCUGCGGUGGAUACGGGCAGACUAGAGGCAGGUAGGGGAGAACGGAAUUCCCGGUGUAGCGGUGAAAUGCGCAGAUAUCGGGAGGAACACCGGUGGCGAAGGCGGUUGCCUGGAGCUUUGCUGACGCUGAGGCGCGAAAGCGUGGGGAGCGAUCCGG
rnacentral:rRNA from 1 species